GAUGGAAGAACGCAGUGAAAUGCGAUAAGUAAUGUGAAUUGCAGAAUUCAGUGAAUCAUCGAAUCUUUGAACGCACAUUGCGCCCUCUGGUAUUCCGGGGGGCAUGCCUGUUCGAGCGUCAUUAUAACCACUCAAGCUCUCGCUUGGUAUUGGGGUUCGCGGUUCCGCGGCCCCUAAAAUCAGUGGCGGUGCCUGUCGGCUCUACGCGUAGUAAUACUCCUCGCGUCUGGGUCCGGUAGGUCUACUUGCCAGCAACCCCCAAUUUUUACAGGUUGACCUCGGAUCAGGUAGGGAUACCCGCUGAACUUAAGCAUAUCAAUAAGCGGAGGA
rnacentral:misc_RNA from 1 species